UGACAGAUAUGAGGAUGUGUAAAUUUGACCACGAGGAACCUCAUUCAGGUUAUUAGAGGUGUGAUUAGAAGGUUAGACAAGAAGGUCCUGAGCCAAUGGGAGGUCAUUGGUGAGGGCAUGAGGGUCAGAGAGAGUGGGCGAGUUCGUUUAACAUGGCCCACUGCUCUACGUUUAAAAUGGAUAAGUCUUUGCAACUUUUCUAACAAAUGGCUUCCCCCAACACACUCCUCAUAUUGAGUUGCUGCAUCUUUUACACAUCCAUAUGUCUGAAUUAAAGGCCCUUAUAGUCCUCAUUCAAUGUAAUGCUUGUUGCUUGUUAACUCUCUUGCUCUUUUUUUCAUGCACACUCUGUACUUCUAUCCAUCUCUCUCCAGGUGCUACAGAGACAGAAUAUUCCAAAGACAUCCAGAGCCUUCUAGCUAACUACCGGCGAUCUCUCCAGAGCACAGAGAAGUGAGUCUGCUGGGCCAUGGAACUCUAGAGCAGCACAUCAAAAAACAUGCCACCCUGUUGGCAGCUUUCAAUGGCCGAAUUUGGGGGAUGGCUAAAUGCAAUCAAGCUGUGUAAAAUAAUGUUACAAAAUAAAAAAAAAGUGCCUGUUG